rnacentral:lncRNA from 1 species
CACGCCAUUUUAACAGCUUUAUUCCAAAUAGGGUUGAUAAGAUCAACAUAACUCAUUCCCAAUCAAUUUCAAAUAUGAGUGUAAAUAUAUUCUGUAGUUAAAUAAGUUAAAUAAUCAAUUAUAUAAUUAUUCAUCAAGACAUAUACGUCAUAGCCAAUUAACAAACAAUAAAACAUUGAAUAAAAACGUGGAGAAGGGAGAUUGGAAUUUCCAAAAUUCUUAUGAGGCUUUAAUUAAGUCCACUGGGUGCUCGGAAUUAUCAAAUCAUUUCUACAUUUCCAUUCUAAGGGGAAAAAAUAAUUCACCUUCAAUGUUCAAAAGCACUAGGAUAAACCUUACUCUUCAUUAAUAAUACCAUUUAUAACUAGCCCUUGAUUGGGAAGAAAAUCAGACCAAUGUUCUAAAUCUCGUUUUAUUUCAAAUAUAUAAUUUGUGAUUUUUUCAAGAUAAAGAAAGAGAUGUAAAAUGAAUGGAAAUGGAAACAAAUUCAAAGCAAGAAUGAUAAUACGAUUAUUUUUAAUGAAAAAAAUAACUUGCCUUCAUAAUUUUUUUUUUUUUAAAAAUUAUCUUAUGAAUUUUGGUUUUUCAUCUUAUUUUACCUUAAGAGUCGAUUGUUUAGACCCGCUCUUAUCCCGCGCUUAGGUCAACUUUUAGUUUUAUGAUCAAAACUUAAGUAUCUUUAACUUGGAGCAUUUUUUUUUUUUUUCCAAAUUAGAACACAUAUUAGUUCUAACUCUUACUAACAAUUUUAAAAUCGUCUGACAGGAUCAACAUAACUCAUUCCCAAUCAAUUUCAAAUAUGACCCUUGAUUGUGAAGAAAAUCAGACCAAUGUUCUAAAUCUCGUUUUAUUUCAAAUAUAUAAUUUGUGAUUUUUUCAAGAUAAAGAAAGAGAUGAAAAAUGAAUGGAAAUGGAAACAAAUUCAAAGCAAGAAUGAUAAUACAAUUAUUAUAUUUUAGAUUUUUUUAAUGAAAAAAAUAACUUGCCUUCA